rnacentral:rRNA from 1 species
UGAGGAACCUGCCUUGGAGAGGGGAAUAACACUCCGAAAGGAGUGCUAAUACCGCAUGAUGCAGUUGGGUCGCAUGGCUCUGACUGCCAAAGAUUUAUCGCUCUGAGAUGGCCUCGCGUCUGAUUAGCUAGUAGGCGGGGUAACGGCCCACCUAGGCGACGAUCAGUAGCCGGACUGAGAGGUUGACCGGCCACAUUGGGACUGAGACACGGCCCAGACUCCUACGGGAGGGCAGCAUG